rnacentral:rRNA from 1 species
GGCUCAGGAUGAACGCUAGCGGCAGGCCUAACACAUGCAAGUCGAGGGGUAUAGUAAGCUUGCUUACUAGAGACCGGCGCACGGGUGCGUAACGCGUAUGCAAUCUACCUUGUACAGGGGAAUAGCCCAGAGAAAUUUGGAUUAAUGCCCUAUAGUAUAUUAGAAUGGCAUCAUUUUAAUAUUAAAGUUUCGGCGGUACAAGAUGAGCAUGCGUCCCAUUAGUUAGUUGGUAAGGUAACGGCUUACCAAGACGAUGAUGGGUAGGGGUCCUGAGAGGGAGAUCCCCCACACUGGUACUGAGACACGGACCAGACUCCUACGGGAGGCAGCAGUGAGGAAUAUUGGGCAAUGGGCGGAAGCCUGACCCAGCCAUGCCGCGUGCAGGAAGACGGUCCUAUGGAUUGUAAACUGCUUUUAUACGGGAAGAAACACUCCCUCGUGAGGGAGCUUGACGGUACCGUAAGAAUAAGGAUCGGCUAACUCCGUGCCAGCAGCCGCGGUAAUACGGAGGAUCCAAGCGUUAUCCGGAAUCAUUGGGUUUAAAGGGUCCGUAGGCGGCCUUAUAAGUCAGUGGUGAAAUCUCCUAGCUCAACUAGGAAACUGCCAUUGAUACUGUAGGGCUUGAAUAAUUAGGAAGUAACUAGAAUAUGUAGUGUAGCGGUGAAAUGCUUAGAUAUUACAUGGAAUACCAAUUGCGAAGGCAGGUUACUACUAAUUUAUUGACGCUGAUGGACGAAAGCGUGGGUAGCGAACAGGAUUAGAUACCCUGGUAGUCCACGCCGUAAACGAUGGAUACUAGCUGUUGGGAUUUAUUUCAGUGGCUAAGCGAAAGUGAUAAGUAUCCCACCUGGGGAGUACGAACGCAAGU